CUUGUCCCUAGAGGCACUGCAGGUGUGGCUUCGGUGUCACACGUGCAUCGGUAGAUGGCAGAGAACUGAGAGGCCAUGUCUACACUCAGUGCUCUGACCUGUGAACAACCCUGACAAAAGUCAUAGUACCUGAGAUG
ensembl:snoRNA LOC120102693 small nucleolar RNA SNORA17